rnacentral:rRNA from 1 species
UACGUAGGGGGCAAGCGUUGUCCGGAUUUAUUGGGCGUAAAGAGCGUGUAGGCGGCCAGAUAGGUCCGUUGUGAAAACUCGAGGCUCAACCUCGAGACGCCGAUGGAAACCAUUUGGCUAGAGUCCGGAAGAGGAGAGUGGAAUUCCCGGUGUAGCAGUGAAAUGCGUAGAGAUCGGGAGGAACAUCAGUUGCGAAGGCGGCUCUCUGGACCAGUACUGACGCUGAGGCACGAAAGCGUGGGGAGCAAACAGG